ACGUUAUUCGGAAUCACUGGGCUUAAAGCGCGUGUAGGCGGGUCGGAACGUCGGUCGCUGAAAUCCCCCGGCUUAACCGGGGAACGGGCGCCGAAACGACCGGCCUGGAGGAACGUAGGGGGAGCUGGAACUUCCGGUGGAGCGGUGAAAUGCGUUGAGAUCGGAAGGAACGCCCGUGGCGAAAGCGAGCUCCUGGACGUUUUCUGACGCUGAGACGCGAAAGCCA
rnacentral:rRNA from 1 species